AUUGAACGCUGGCGGCAUGCUUUACACAAGCAAGUCGAACGGCAGCGGGGCCUCCGGCCUGCCGGCGAGUGGCGAACGGGUGAGUAAUGCAUCGGAACGUGCCCAGUCAUGGGGAAUAACUACGCGAAAGCGUAGCUAAUACCGCAUACGUCCUGAGGGGGAAAGCGGGGGAUCGCAAGACCUCGCGUGAUUGGAAGCGGCCGAUGUCGGAUUAGCUAGUUGGUGGGGUAAAGGCCUACCAAGGCGACGAUCCGUAGCGGGUCUGAGAGGACGAUCCGCCACACUGGGUCUGAGACACGGCCCAGACUCCUACGGGAGGCAGCAGUGGGGAAUUUUGGACAAUCGGGGGCAACCCUGAUCCAGCCAUGCCGCGUGACUGAAGAAGGCCUUCGGGUUGUAAAGCUCUUUCAGACGGAAAGAAAUCGGGUGGUUCAAU
rnacentral:rRNA from 1 species